rnacentral:rRNA from 1 species
UACGUAGGGGGCAAGCGUUGUCCGGAUUUAUUGGGCGUAAAGAGCGUGUAGGCGGCCAUGCAGGUCAGCUGUGAAAACUCGAGGCUCAACCUCGAGACGUCGGUUGAAACCGCUUGGCUAGAGUCCGGAAGAGGAGAGUGGAAUUCCCGGUGUAGCGGUGAAAUGCGCAGAUAUCGGGAAGAACACCCGUGGCGAAGGCGGCUCUCUGGGACGGUACUGACGCUGAGACGCGAAAGCGUGGGGAGCGAACAGG